rnacentral:rRNA from 1 species
UGCAGUCGAACGAUGACGGUGGUGCUUGCAUCACCUGAUUAGUGGCGAACGGGUGAGUAACACGUGAGUAACCUGCCCCCCACUUCGGGAUAACCUCGGGAAAUCGUGGCUAAUACCGGAUACGAGCACUCAUCGCAUGGUGGGUGCUGGAAAGAUUUAUCGGUGGGGGAUGGACUCGCGGCCUAUCAGUUUGUUGGUGAGGUGAUGGCUCACCAAGACGAUGACGGGUAGCCGGCCUGAGAGGGCGACCGGCCACACUGGGACUGAGACACGGCCCAGACUCCUACGGGAGGCAGCAGUGGGGAAUAUUGCACAAUGGGCGAAAGCCUGAUGCAGCGACGCCGCGUGGGGGAUGACGGCCUUCGGGUUGUAAACCCCUUUCAGUAGGGAAGAAGCGAGAGUGACGGUACCUGCAGAAGAAGCGCCGGCUAACUACGUGCCAGCAGCCGCGGUAAUACGUAGGGCGCAAGCGUUGUCCGGAAUUAUUGGGCGUAAAGAGCUUGUAGGUGGCUUGUCGCGUCUGCCGUGAAAACCCGAGGCUCAACCUCGGGCGUGCGGUGGGUACGGGCAGGCUAGAGUGUGGUAGGGGAGACUGGAACUCCUGGUGUAGCGGUGAAAUGCGCAGAUAUCAGGAAGAACACCGAUGGCGAAGGCAGGUCUCUGGGCCAUUACUGACACUGAGAAGCGAAAGCAUGGGUAG